ACGCUGGCGGCGUGCUUAACACAUGCAAGUCGAACGCUGAAGCCCAGCUUGCUGGGUGGAUGAGUGGCGAACGGGUGAGUAACACGUGAGUAACCUGCCCUCUUCUUUGGGAUAACGCCCGGAAACGGGUGCUAAUACUGGAUAUUCACUGGCCUUCGCAUGGGGGUUGGUGGAAAGGUUUUUUCUGGUGGGGGAUGGGCUCGCGGCCUACCAGCUUGUUGGUGGGGUGAUGGCCUACCAAGGCUUUGACGGGUAGCCGGCCUGAGAGGGUGACCGGUCACAUUGGGACUGAGAUACGGCCCAGACUCCUACGGGAGGCAGCAGUGGGGAAUAUUGCACAAUGGGCGAAAGCCUGAUGCAGCGACGCCGCGUGAGGGGUGGAGGCCUUCGGGUUGUAAACCUCUUUCGCUCAUGGUCAAGCCGCAACUGUGGGUUGUGGUGAGGGUAGUGGGUAAAGAAGCGCCGGCUAACUACGUGCCAGCAGCCGCGGUAAUACGUAGGGCGCGAGCGUUGUCCGGAAUUAUUGGGCGUAAAGGGCUUGUAGGCGGUUGGUCGCGUCUGCCGUGAAAUCCUCUGGCUUAACUGGGGGCGUGCGGUGGGUACGGGCUGACUUGAGUGCGGUAGGGGAGACUGGAACUCCUGGUGUAGCGGUGGAAUGCGCAGAUAUCAGGAAGAACACCGGUGGCGAAGGCGGGUCUCUGGGCCGUUACUGACGCUGAGGAGCGAAAGCGUGGGGAGCGAACAGGAUUAGAUACCCUGGUAGUCCACGCUGUAAACGUUGGGCACUAGGUGUGGGGGCCACCCGUGGUUUCUGCGCCGUAGCUAACGCUUUAAGUGCCCCGCCUGGGGAGUACGGCCGCAAGGCUAAAACUCAAAGGAAUUGACGGGGGCCCGCACAAGCGGCGGAGCAU
rnacentral:rRNA from 1 species